CCUACGGGAGGCAGCAGUGAGGAAGAUUGGUCAAUGGGCGCGAGCCUGAACCAGCCAAGUAGCGUGAAGGAUGACUGCCCUACGGGUUGUAAACUUCGUUUAUAAAGGAAGAAAGUGAGGCACGUGUGCCUUGUUGUAUGUACUGUAUGAAGAAGGAUCGGCUAACUCCGUGCCAGCAGCCGCGGUAAUACGGAGGAUCCGAGCGUUAUCCGGAUUUAGUGGGUUUAAAGGGAGCGUAGAUGGGUUGUUAAGUCAGUUGUGAAAGUUUGCGGCUCAACCGUAAAAUUGCAAUUGAUACUGGCAGUCUUUAGUACAGUUGCGGUAGGCGUCCUUCGUUGUGUAGCGGUG
rnacentral:rRNA from 1 species